rnacentral:piRNA from 1 species
UAGAUGUGCUAAAUAGAAUGA